GAGGGGUUCCACGCGUACCCAUCCCGAACACGACCGUUAAGCCCUCCAGCGCCGAUGGUACUUGGACCGAAGGGUCCUGGGAGAGUAGGACGCCGCCAAGC
rnacentral:rRNA from 1 species